UGUAGAUUUUUUAUUCGUCUUAUUUGAUUUUUUAUUAUUAAUAUUUUUGUUGCUAUUAGAUAAUAAAAUAUGAAUAAUACUUUAUACGUGACUUAUUUUUUAAAUAAGACGGAUAGUCAAACGUUGGACACGAAAACUCAC
rnacentral:pre_miRNA from 1 species